ensembl:snRNA U6 U6 spliceosomal RNA
GGGCUCUUCAGCAGCUCGUGUACUAAAAUUGGAACAACACAGAGAAGGUCAGCAUGGUCCCCGCACAAGGAUGACCUGAGAUUUUAUGUAUGAAGCAGUCUGCAUUUUC